rnacentral:lncRNA from 1 species
GAAUCGUGGGUCCUGAUCGUGGUAUGCCUUGGCUCCUGUUUGCAGAUGAUUUUGAGGCUCUUUGCAAUGUGCUGCGCCCACCUGCUUAUGGCCCGCCACGCCCGGGUGGCUUUGGACUUCCUUAUGAAUAUGGCCCAGAUAUAGGCCCACCUUAUCAGAGUCUCCCCUAUGGGCCAGAUCUGUAUCCACCACCUGUGCUACCCUAUGACCCCUACCCACCCCCACCUGGACCUUUUGCUCGCCGGGAGGCCCCUUAUGGUGCCCCGCCCUUCGAAAUGCCGGACUUUGAGGAUGAUGGUGACCCCUAUGGCGAGACUGAGGCUCCUGACCCACCAAGCCGAGGCACUGGUUGGCCAUAUCGGUCCAGAGACACCCGUGGCUCCUUCCCAGAGCCUGAGGAAUCCUCUGAGCGUGGAAGCUAUACAGGAGCCUUGUCUGAGCCCUAUGAGGGCCUAGAGGCCGAGGAGUGUGGUAUCCUGGAUGGCUGCGCCCACGGCCGCUGUGUACGUGUUCCAGAAGGCUUCACCUGUGAUUGUUUCGACGGCUACCGCCUGGACAUCACCCGCAUGUCCUGCGUCGACAUCAACGAGUGUGACGAGGCUGAGGCAACCUCCCCACUCUGCGUCAAUGCGCGCUGUGUCAACACUGAUGGUUCCUUCCGCUGUAUUUGCCGUCCGGGAUUUGCACCCACGCACCAACCACAUCACUGUGCGCCUGCUCGACCUCGGGCCUGAGCAGCUGCGUGCGCCUAGCCUCCCAUUAUAACUGAGCACUAGGAGCUUCCAGAGUGCACCUAGCCUUCCUCUAGUCUGCAUGUGUGUGAGGAUGUCAGACAGUCUCGAUGUAGGAUGGACGGACACAGAGGGGUGCCUUCUAUGGCACCAGUUCAUCAUGCCUAGCCCCUCCCACCAGUGCCCUGGGCCUGUCCUGGGUUCCCUGACACAUUUCUUGCCCUUUUAUACAAUUUUCAAUUAAACCACCUAUUUUGUA